GGUCCCUGCUGGACGAGGCGCUCGCCGUCUCCACGACGACCACGCCAACCUCGCGGCCCUUUCUUUCGGCUCGAUCUGCCUCCAAUCACACCAACACCUGAAUACCAUAAUGGGAAGGAGAAAGAAGAAGAAGAAGAGAUUCACAUGUAGAGAAAGAUGAACUCUGCUGAUCCGUAACAAAUCUGAGUGAAUUUCAUUGUAUAAUAUGUAUAUUAUUGUAUAACAUCUAAAAAUUGUUGCCUCGGUAACAACAAACUUUCCAGGGG
ensembl:lncRNA